rnacentral:rRNA from 1 species
GACGAACGCUGGCGGCGGGCUUAACACAUGCAAGUCGAACGGAAAGGCCCCCUUGUGGGGUUCUCGAGGGGCGAACGGGGGAGUAACACGUGAGUAACCUACCCUUGACUUUGGGAUAACGUCAGGACACUGGGGCUCAUACCGGAAAAGAGCUCCUGCUGCACGGGGGGGGUUGGAAAGUUUCGGCGGUUGGGGAUGGACUCUCGGCUUAUCAGCUUGUUGGUGGGGUAGUGGCUCACCGAGGCUUUGGCGGGUAGCCGGCCUGAGAGGGUGACCGGCCACAAUGGGACUGCGAUACGGCCCAGACUGCUACGGGAGGCAGCAGUGGGGAAUAUUGCACAAUGGGCGGAAGCCUGAUGCAGCAACGCCGCGUGCGUGAUGACGGCCUUCGGGUUGUAAACCGCUUUCGCCUGUGACGAAGCGUGAGUGACGGUAAUGAGUAAAUAAGCACCGGCUAACUACGUG